AUUGAACGCUGGCGGCAUGCUUUACACAUGCAAGUCGAACGGCAGCGCGGGCUUCGGCCUGGCGGCGAGUGGCGAACGGGUGAGUAAUGCAUCGGAACGUGCCCAGUAGUGGGGGAUAGCCCGGCGAAAGCCGGAUUAAUACCGCAUACGACCUGAGGGUGAAAGCGGGGGACCGAAAGGCCUCGCGCUAUUGGAGCGGCCGAUGUCGGAUUAGCUAGUUGGAGGGGUAAAGGCUUACCCAGGCGACGAUCCGUAGCUGGUCUGAGAGGACGACCAGCCACACUGGGACUGAGAAACGGCCCAGACUCCUACGGGAGGCAGCAGUGGGGAAUUUUGGACAAUGGGGGCAACCCUGAUCCAGCCAUGCCGCGUGCGGGAAGAAGGCCUUCGGGUUAUAAACCGCUUUUGUUCGGGAAGAAAUCCUCUGGGCUAAUACCCCGGGGGGAUGACGGUACCGGAAGAAUAAGCACCGGCUAACUACGUG
rnacentral:rRNA from 1 species